GGGGGUGUAGCUCAGUGGUAGAGCGUGUGCUUAGCAUGCACGAGGUUCCGGGUUCAAUCCCCAACCCCGGCACCUCCA